AGGUAAGCUACUAAGAGCGAAUGGUGGAUGCCUUGACUGGUAAAGGCGAUGAAGGACGUACUAGACUGCGAUAAGCUACGGGGAGCUGUCAAGAAGCUUUGAUCCGUAGAUUUCCGAAUGGGGCAACCCAAUGUAUAGAGAUAUACAUUACCUAUAUAGGAGCGAACGAGGGGAAUUGAAACAUCUUAGUACCCUCAGGAAAAGAAAUCAAUAGAGAUUGCGUCAGUAGCGGCGAGCGAAAGCGCAAGAGGGCAAACCCAGUGCUUGCACUGGGGGUUGUAGGACUGCAAUGUGCAAGAGCUGAGUUUAGCAGAACAUUCUGGAAAGUAUAGCCAUAGAGGGUGAUAGUCCCGUAUGCGAAAAACAAAGCUUAGCUAGCAGUAUCCUGAGUAGGGCGGGACACGAGGAAUCCUGUCUGAAUCCGGGUCGACCACGAUCCAACCCUAAAUACUAAUACCAGAUCGAUAGUGCACAAGUACCGUGAGGGAAAGGUGAAAAGAACUGAGGUGAUCAGAGUGAAAUAGAACCUGAAACCAUUUGCUUACAAUCAUUCAGAGCACUAUGUAGCAAUACAGUGUGAUGGACUGCCUUUUGCAUAAUGAGCCUGCGAGUUGUGGUGUCUGGCAAGGUUAAGCAAACGCGAAGCCGUAGCGAAAGCGAGUCUGAAUAGGGCGCUUAGUCAGAUGCUGCAGACCCGAAACGAAGUGAUCUAUCCAUGAGCAAGUUGAAGCUAGUGUAAGAACUAGUGGAGGACUGAACCCAUAGGCGUUGAAAAGCCCCGGGAUGACUUGUGGAUAGGGGUGAAAGGCCAAUCAAACUUCGUGAUAGCUGGUUCUCUCCGAAAUAUAUUUAGGUAUAGCGUUGUGUCGUAAUAUAAGGGGGUAGAGCACUGAAUGGGCUAGGGCAUACACCAAUGUACCAAACCCUAUCAAACUCCGAAUACCUUAUAUGUAAUCACAGCAGUCAGGCGGCGAGUGAUAAAAUCCGUCGUCAAGAGGGAAACAACCCAGACUACCAGCUAAGGUCCCUAAAUCUUACUUAAGUGGAAAACGAUGUGAAGUUACUUAAACAACCAGGAGGUUGGCUUAGAAGCAGCCAUCCUUUAAAGAAAGCGUAAUAGCUCACUGGUCUAGUGAUUUUGCGCGGAAAAUAUAACGGGGCUAAAGUAAGUACCGAAGCUGUAGACUUGCGCACAACUUAGAUUAUUUAAGUUUAGAAUAUGAGAAACUAAGUUAUAUUUUUACUGAUUUUUAUAGAGUAAAGAUAGAAAUAAAACUUAGUAAAAUCAGUAAAAAUAUUCUUAGGCUAAAGUUAAGUAGUUUAAGUUGUGUGCAAGUGGUAGGAGAGCGUUCUAUUUGCGUCGAAGGUAUACCGGUAAGGAGUGCUGGAGCGAAUAGAAGUGAGCAUGCAGGCAUGAGUAGCGAUAAUUAAUGUGAGAAUCAUUAACGCCGUAAACCCAAGGUUUCCUACGCGAUGCUCGUCAUCGUAGGGUUAGUCGGGUCCUAAGUCGAGUCCGAAAGGGGUAGACGAUGGCAAAUUGGUUAAUAUUCCAAUACCAACAUUAGUGUGCGAUGGAAGGACGCUUAGGGCUAAGGGGGCUAGCGGAUGGAAGUGCU
rnacentral:rRNA from 1 species